rnacentral:snRNA from 1 species
AUAGUGUUCUUCAGGUCUAUCUAUCUAUCUAUCCAUCCAUCCAUCCAUCCAUUGCACUCCGGCUGUGCUUACCCCUGCGAUUUCCCCAAAUGCGUCAAACUGGACUGCAUAAUUUGUGGUAGUGGGGGACUGUGUUUGCGCUCUCCCCUG